GAUGAAGAACGCAGCGAAAUGCGAUAAGUAGUGUGAAUUGCAGAAUUCAGUGAAUCAUCGAAUCUUUGAACGCACAUUGCGCCCCUUGGUAUUCCAUGGGGCAUGCCUGUUCGAGCGUCAUUUGUACCUUCAAGCUUUGCUUGGUGUUGGGUGUUUGUCCUGAGGGACUCGCCUUAAAGUAAUUGGCAGCCAGUGUUUUGGUUUUGAAGCGCAGCACAAGUCGCGAUUCAAGGCUAUGCGCCAGCUUCCACAAGCCUUUUUUCACUUUUGACCUCGGAUCAGGUAGGGAUACCCGCUGAACUUAAGCAUAUCAAUAAGCGGAGGA
rnacentral:misc_RNA from 1 species